rnacentral:rRNA from 1 species
UUGGAGGGCAAGUCUGGUGCCAGCAGCCGCGGUAAUUCCAGCUCCAAUAGCGUAUAUUAAAGUUGUUGCAGUUAAAAAGCUCGUAGUUGAAUUUCGGGAUCAGAUUGUCGGUCGUGCCUCGGUACGCACUGGUAUUAUUGGUUCCUACCUUCUGAAGAACCGCGAUGUCAUCAAUUUGGUGUCGUGGGGAAUCAGGACUGUUACUUUGAAAAAAUUAGAGUGUUUAAAGCAGGCUUACGCUUGAAUACAUUAGCAUGGAAUAAUGAAAUAGGACGUUUGAUUCUAUUUUGUUGGUUUCUAGGAUUGACGUAAUGAUGAAUAGGGAUAGUUGGGGGCAUUAGUAUUCAAUUGUCAGAGGUGAAAUUCUUGGAUUUAUUGAAGACUAACUACUGCGAAAGCAUUUGCCAAGGAUGUUUUCAUUAAUCAAGAACGAAAGUUAGGGGAUCGAAGACGAUCAGAUACCGUCGUAGUCUUAACCAUAAACUAUGCCGACUAGGGAUCGGAUGAUGUUAAUUUUUUAAUGACUCAUUCGGCGCCUUACGGGAAACCAAAGUGUUUGGGUUC